rnacentral:rRNA from 1 species
CCUACGGGAGGCUGCAGUGGGGAAUAUUGGGCAAUGGAGGCAACUCUGACCCAGCAACGCCGCGUGAAUGAUGAAGGUCUUCGGAUUGUAAAGUUCUGUGAUGGGGGAUGAACACAAUGACGGUACCCCAAUAGCAAGCCACGGCUAAAUACGUGCCAGCAGCCGCGGUAAUACGUAUGGAGCAAGCGUUAUCCGGAUUUACUGGGUGUAAAGGGAGCGUAGGCGGUAAGGCAAGUCUGAUGUGAAAGGCCAGGGCUCAACCCUGGGACUGCAUUGGAAACUGUUUAACUGGAGUGUCGGAGAGGCAAGUGGAAUUCCUAGUGUAGCGGUGAAAUGCGUAGAUAUUAGGAGGAACACCAGUGGCGAAGGCGGCUUGCUGGACGAUGACUGACGCUGAGGCUCGAAAGCGUGGGGAGCAAACAGGAUUAGAUACCCCUGUAGUC